rnacentral:rRNA from 1 species
GAACUGGAGAGUUUGAUCCUGGCUCAGAUUGAACGCUGGCGGUAGGCCUAACACAUGCAAGUCGAACGGUAACGGACCGCUGGGAUCCCUUCGGGGUGACCUUGGUGCCGACGAGUGGCGGACGGGUGAGUAACACGUAGGAAUCUGCCCAACAGAGGGGGACAACCCGGAGAAAUCCGGGCUAAUACCGCAUACGCCCUACGGGGGAAAGCGGGGGAUCUUCG